CUGAUACAAUGAUGAUAACAUAGUUCAGCAGACUGACACUGAUGAGCAAUCAGAAGUCUUUCGCUCCUAUCUGAAGUAUCAG
ensembl:snoRNA